CUAUGUCCUGAAUACCCUUACCCCCCAAUGUCAGUCAUUUUUAUACACAAACGUUUACAUUGUGCCUAUCAGUUUUCUUCCUCCCUUUUACUAUUGUUAAGAAUUCAUAUUUUUAAACUUCACAUAUAAUUUUCUCUGCUUGGAUUUUGGAUGAGCACUGCAUCAUGUUAAACUCUGCAUUGCUAUUGAUCUUAAAAAAACCUGGCACAGUGCUUUAGCAGAAAGGAAGAUUGUACUUCUUAUGAAAAGACUUUUUUUCCAAAACAUCCUCUUACAUCUUUGUAAGAGAACUUCUCAUAAUUGAUUCUAAGGGUAAAAGAGCAGCAUGGUAUUGCAUAUUAGUUGGAGAGUAGAAUUGAGUCAACUAAAAAUAUAUUGAGCUGGAAUGGUGAAAAAAAUUACAGGCCAGGUAUUAAUGUGAGUAAUACUGAACAUGUAAAUUAAGAGCUGUUGAAGUCCAAUAUGCUGAGCUCUGAACAUCUCUCUACCUUUUCAGUGGACUGGAGCCUGGAUCCUCCGUGAGCUUACACAGCUGUGUUGCACUGAGAUAUGGUAAAGAGCUCAGUCACAGUGAUUUAUUGACACAAAAUCAGAAGGAGAAUCUUCUAAAUGGCCAGUCAGCUGAAGAAGCCAGACUGGGAACAUCUGUAUCUUCCCACCUGAAAACCUCACCUGUUGCUUGCUCCUACAGAGUACCUGGAAACACUGGGAAUGAUUGGAACGCUCAGUGACUGCAACUGCACACUGAAGGUAGGCUCUUCCCUGCAAGCCUCCUUCCCCAUACCUGAUACUUAUGCUCUGUUAAGUUUAGUGCCUUCUCAAGUACCUUCUUGAGAUGGUCAAAUGCUGCUCCUGAUGAUGUUGUCACGGUGUGGCACAGUCAGUACCUGUUUAGAAAGACCAAGCUUCACCUACUGCGUGGGCUGCAACAUGACAUUUGCAAUCUGAUUAGCUGAAAUGUCAUUAGCAUGGGUUUUCCUGGCAGAUUCAUGACCUGAGGACCAUCUGCCUGACAAAUUUCAGUUCUCUGCCACAAGGAGCAAUUAUAGGAAGAAAUCCACAACAUUUUUUUUUCUGUUGUUUUUGUUUGUUUCUGUCUUUGUUUCUUUGUUUUUGACAAACCUCUCUUGGAAACAGCCAAACUGAUUAAACAGAAAAUAAGAUAUCUGCCCCAAACUCAACCAAACCAAAUCAAACCCAACUAGCAGACAACAAGCUGUUGGCAGGCACUAAGCUUGAAACAUGUGAGCUGGAACU
rnacentral:lncRNA from 1 species